rnacentral:rRNA from 1 species
GACGAACGCUGGUGGCGUGCUUAACACAUGCAAGUCGAACGAUGAAGCCGGAGCUUGCUCUGGUGAAUUAGUGGCGAACGGGUGAGUAACACGUGAGUAACCUGCCCUUGACUCUGGGAUAACUGCGGGAAACUGUAGCUAAUACCGGAUACGACCCUCGGAGGCAUCUCCUGGGGGUGGAAAGAAUUUCGGUCAAGGAUGGACUCGCGGCCUAUCAGCUAGUUGGUGAGGUAAAGGCUCACCAAGGCGACGACGGGUAGCCGGCCUGAGAGGGUGACCGGCCACACUUGGACUGAGACGCGGCCCAGACUCCUACGGGAGGCAGCAGUGGGGAAUAUUGCACAAUGGGCGCAAGCCUGAUGCAGCAACACCGCGUGAGGGAUGACGGCCUUCGGGUUGUAAACCUCUUUUAGCAGGGAAGAAGCGAAAGUGACGGUACCUGCAGAAAAAGCACCGGCUAACUACGUGCCAGCCGCCGCGGUAA